CAUAGAUCCACUAUUUGGUCGUCUGUUCUCAUCUUUGGUGUUGCUUACUUCUUCUUCUUCUUCUUCUAUCGGAGCCCAUCUGAUUCUCUUCAGAACACGGCAGAAGAAAUUCCCAAAUCCAUUUGCGAUUUCACUAUCGAGACAUGGGUCAACUGGUUUUCUUUUGAAUCAUGUUUCUCUCUCUCUCCAUAGGAUAUCCAUGGCAAUGAUGUCAGCAUGAGCUCUUACAAGGGAAAGGUUCUUAUGAUAGUCAAUGUUGAUUCAAAGUGUGGUCUAACUCAUGCAAACUACCAGGAACUGAACAUUUUGUAUGAAAAGUACAAGAACCAAGGUCUGCUUACCAAUCUGCCUUAUUUAUUUGUUUGUUUUUUAAAAUUAGUUAGUGAGUAGUCACAUUGUUUAUCAUCAUUCUGGUAGGCUUUGAGAUCCUAGCAUUUCCCUGCAACCAGUUCGCUGGUCAAGAACCUGGAAGUAAUGAUGAGAUCAAGGAAGUUGCCUGCACAAUGUUCAAAGCUGAAUUCCCCAUCUUUGAUUAGGUAUUUUAGAUGAAUGAAACAACAACAGAGUUGUAGUUCUCAUAUAAGCUUGGGUCUGAACUGCGUUAACCUUUUUUAUCUUUUGUUUUUUGUUUGGCGAUUGUCAUGAUUUAGCUUCACCAUUGAUGAUGACGAAUGACUUGAUAACUAAAUUAAGACAACUGUUCCCACGGCUACCUUGUCUAGGGGCAUGAAAGGAACUACUUCCUAAAUCACUCAUCGAAUGGCAGAAAGAUUCUUAUGUUCCUUUAAUUUGUAAACAUAUUUGGAUUAACAUCAGAGUCCUUAUUUAAAUCAUACACAAAGUUUAGAAAUAUGAGAUUCUUAUCUCAGUUUGAGGAUUCUUGGUCAUCACACUAAGACCUUGGUUUGUUGAAAUUCUUGAGGCUUAGGAAUUUUUCCAAGUUAUAUUUAAGAGUGGAAGAAAGUUUUUUCCCUGUUCCAAUAUCCCUGGGUGUUUUAUUUCUGCAAUUACUUCAUGAAAUAUAGAUACUAUUGAAAAAAGUUAAUGAAGUGCAGGACAGGACAGGAACUUCCUUCUUGUGCUGUGUAUAUGGUGGACUUGGAGGGAACUAUCCAGGAUCCACCACUUGAUGCUUUCCCACCCACAGAUUUUCUAGGCUAAGAUACUGCUUUAUUUGAUAAGAAGUAACCCAUAUAACCACAUAUCGUUCAGCAUGUCAAUUUCUGAGUUCGAGUUGUUAACUGAUGUAAUUGAUCUCUUAGGUGAAAGGACUUUACUCCCUCUCAAGAAGAUUUUUAUGAGUAGCACAGGCAUGGUGGACAGUUUCUUUCUGUCAACUUCCCUCGCUUCUGCAAGUAUUGUCGGGAAGAGAAAUACAAUGGAAGUUUGAUCUAUCUCUAUACUAUGUGAAGAACCCCAAACCUCACUUUGAUUUGGAAUGUUCUUAAUUUAUGUCUUCCGGAUAUUUUAGGUUGAGGUGAAUGGUAAGAAUAAUUCCUAGACCUCAAUUUGAAUUGACAUUGUUCUUAAUUUAUGUAUUCUGACUUUAUUAGGUUGAGGUGAAUGGUAAGAAUACAGCCCCAAUCUACAAGCUCCUAAAAUCACAGAAAGGUGGGAUAUUUGAGGAUAGCAUUAAGUGGAACUUCACGAAGUUUCUUGUAGACAAAAAUGGAAAGGUUGUGGAGAGAUAUGCCCCCACCACAUCUCCACUUAAGAUCGAGAAAGACAUCCAAAAUCUAUUGGGAAUUUUGCAAGUUCAACUGAGGCACAACACAUUGUCCAGAAAUAUUUGUAUGUUACUUCCAAAAAAAAAACAUGUUUCUUAUGGAUCUCUCUCUCUCUCUCAUUUGUUGUUUAGAAGGAUUCUGUGACAUGUUACUAGGCAUUAAUAAAUCAAAUAAGUUUUCGUGGCUUUGUUGUCUGCUA